rnacentral:rRNA from 1 species
GACGAACGCUGGCGGCGUGCCUAAUACAUGCAAGUAGGACGCAGUUGCGAACGGGUGAGUAACGCGUCGGUAACUGCCUAUUAGUGGGGGCUAACUAUUGGAAACGAUAGCUAAUACCGCCUACUAGUAGAUGGACCUGCGUUGUAUUAGCUCGUAGGUAGGGUAAUGGCCUACCUAGGCGAAGUUACCUAGCCGGCCUGGGAAGGUUGACGGCCACAAUGGGAAUUGGACACGGCUCAGACUCCUACGGGAGGGAGCAGUAGGGAAACUUCGGCAAAUGGGGGAACCCUGACCGAGCAACUGCGCGGGGGUGAAGAAGGGUUUCGGAGUGUUAAGCUCUGUUGUUAAGGAAGCGGUACUUAACCAGAAAGGGACGGCUAACUACGUGCCAGCCGCCGCGGUAAUAC